rnacentral:rRNA from 1 species
UUGUAGUCUGCAACCCGACUACAUGAAGCUGGAAUCGCUAGUAAUCGCGAAUCAGAAUGUCGCGGUGAAUACGUUCCCGGGUCUUGUACACACCGCCCGUCACACCAUGGGAGUCGGAAAUGCCCGAAGUCAGUGACCCAACCGUAAGGAGGGAGCUGCCGAAGGUGGAGCCGGUAACUGGGGUGAAGUCGUAACAAGGUAGC